UUCAGAUAUCAUGUUUUCAUCUUUUCAAGGCAUGGCAAGGUUUUUGCCCACUGGACAGAGCAGUCCAAAGCUCUACUGAGAGGUGACCUGCCUCCUGUCUUCAGGCUCCCAAGACUCCGGAAACUGACGUUUUCGGAAGUCGUCCAGGAACAUAACGAGGGCUUAGAACCAGAGGGGGAGGUUCCUUUACAUUACUUGAUGACCGCUAUGCCCACUACAGCAAAGAUGGCAAAACGUGCAAGAGAAGCCCGCAGGUCUGCCCAUGAAAGAUUGGUGGACUUCAUCACGAAGCUGAAGGGGUCGGACAAACGGCUACUGGAAAUAAUCACAGGUGAAGGCAACUCCAAGUGGCUGGUGUAUUUCAGGUCUGCGAAACCAGACAGGGUCUUCACCUACCUUGGAGGAAGACGACCAAAUUGAUGAAGUUUUUAAGCACAUCAACUUGGUCCUCAAAGGAGCCACAAAAUGUGCACCUUAUGUCCCAACGACAGAGUUCCAGAGAGUCAGCUUCGUGUUGGAUGUGCUGAUGCCUGAGUGAAGUGCAAGAAUUUAAUGAUAUUAUCAAGAUGCAGAAGAGGCAGUAGAUCGAGGCCGAGC